AUUGAACGCUGGCGGCAGGCCUAACACAUGCAAGUCGAGCGGAGCGGCGGACGGGUGAGUAAUGCCUAGGAUUCUGCCUGGUAGUGGGGGAUAACGUCCGGAAACGGGCGCUAAUACCGCAUACUAUCAGAUGAGCCUAGGUCGUAUUAACUAGUUGGUGGGGUAAGGGCCUACCCAGGCGACGAUCCGUAACUGGUCUGAUAGGAUGAUCAAUAACCCUGGAACUGAGACACGGUCCAGACUCCUACGGGAGGCAGCAGUGGGGAAUAUUGGACAAGGGGCGAAAGCCUGAAUCAGCCAUGCCGGUUGUGUGAAGAAGGUCUUCGGAUUGUAAAGCACUUUAAGUUGGGAGGCGUUACCAACAGAAUAAGCACCGGCUAACUUCGUGCCAGCAGCCGCGGUAAUUC
rnacentral:rRNA from 1 species